rnacentral:tRNA from 2 species
GUCUCCAUAGUUUAAUGGACAGAACGGUCGCCUCCUAAGCGAUUGAUCCCAGUUCGAAUCUGGGUGGGGACAC